ACACACUCAUGUAUAGAUGCACACAUGUUAACACACACACACACAUAUACACAAACAAGCUCACAGGUAUUCAUACUCAUGUAUAUGUACACAGGUACACUCACUGACAUACAUAAAACCCACAUACAUAGCAACAUGCACACAAGCACAAUCAAAAAUAUACUCACACAUGCAUACACAUACAGGAACACACAUGCACACUAUGUUUGUACACACAGCACACAUGCAUGUGUAAAACAGUCUACAAGCUCCCUCUGGUCUCGCCCUCUGCUGGCAGGAGGAGCAGGUGUGGGAUACGGGGCUGCCCCAGAUUGUCCACAGCAGCUGCCUAUGAUUUGUCUCGUGCUCUGGCAGGGGCGUGCUUCUGCCGACUGAAGGUCCAGUCCCAGGCUCGGGAGCCAUGCAAACGAAUGCUGGAUGUGGCGGUGCGCCUCUGGAACCCAGCAGCCUGCUAUGAGAAGUGCCCUGAAGAUGGAGGGCCAGCUAGCAUGGCAGAAAUAAACAAUCCUGCCUCAAUGAGGUGGAAGGAAAGAGCCAACCAUCCUCUGACCCCAACACACAUCCUGUGACACUCAGCACCCCCCCAUAAAACCAAGAAAUAAAACUUAUCUAAAGA